UGGGGAAUAUUGGACAAUGGGGGGAACCCUGAUCCAGCCAUGCCGCGUGUGUGAAGAAGGCCUUUUGGUUGUAAAGCACUUUAAGCGAGGAGGAGGGUACUGGUAUUAAUACUACCAGGUACUGGACGUUACUCGCAGAAUAAGCACCGGCUAACUCUGUGCCAGCAGCCGCGGUAAUACAGAGGGUGCGAGCGUUAAUCGGAUUUACUGGGCGUAAAGCGUGCGUAGGCGGCUAAUUGAGUCGGAUGUGAAAUCCCCGAGCUUAACUUGGGAAUUGCAUUCGAUACUGGUUAGCUAGAGUGUGGGAGAGGAUGGUAGAAUUCCAGGUGUAGCGGUGAAAUGCGUAGAGAUCUGGAGGAAUACCGAUGGCGAAGGCAGCCAUCUGGCCUAACACUGACGCUGAGGUACGAAAGCAUGGGGAGCAAACAGG
rnacentral:rRNA from 1 species